GACGAACCGUGCGAACGUUAUUCGGAAUCAUUGGGCUUAAAGGGCGCGUAGGCGGCGGUGUAAGUUGGAAGUGAAAUCCCAUCGGCUCAACCGUGGAAUUGCUCCCAGUACUGCAUCGCUCGAGGGGGGUAGGGGUUUGCGGAACUACCGGUGGAGCGGUGAAAUGUGUUGAUAUCGGUGGGAACGCCAGUGGCGAAAGCGGCAAACUUGACCCUUCCUGACGCUGAGGCGCGAAAGCUAGGGGAGCAAACGGG
rnacentral:rRNA from 1 species